rnacentral:lncRNA from 10 species
UUUAUGGAUGAGAAAAGUGAAAAAAGUAACUUGUUACACAGUUAAUAAGUGGAAGAGCCAGAAUCAAACUCAGGCAGUUGGUGUCAGUGUCUGUACUAAUUACUAAGCAGCAAACUUCAGCCCAAGGGCUAGAUGAGAUGCCCCACCCCACUGUUGGCCCCAAGACCCAAACCCAUCUAUCUUGCCCAAAGCUCACCCUGGGAAUGGUACAGGGCCCAGCCUGCUCCCCAUACUCUAAAGUUUAUCUCUGAAGCCUGACUGUGAUGAUGGAGGGAGAAUAAAGAUUAUCUCCGAUUUCAUCGGUUUCCCCUGCAGUGGAGCCUGCAGAGCCAGGCCAGGCAUGGGGCCGCCAGUCCCCCCGACGUCUGGAGGACUCAAGCAAUGGAGAGCGGCGAGCAUGCUGGGCUUGGGGUCCCAGUUCCCCCAAGCCUGGGGAAGCCCAGAAUGGGAGGAGAAGGUCCCGCAUGGACGAAGCCACAUGGUACCUGGAUUCAGAUGACUCAUCCCCCUUAGGAUCUCCUUCCACACCCCCAGCACUCAAUGGUGAGUGGCCUUCCUCCCCCGGCAGGAUCUGGCUGAGCU